UGACUGCAGGUUGCUGUGGACAGAUGCUGCGUGAAGUGACCUAAUUCACCCGUUUCGUCCGUCUAUUUUUAUCGCCACCUCCGUUUUAUGAUGUGCGAUGACCACAUCACAAAAGAUGGGAUGGGAUGAAACGGUGUCUGUGCAAGCACAUUAAACAAAGAGCACGGUCUGAACAAGGGUUUUACAACAUGAACGCACCUGAGCUUCUCAUAGCAUUUACAUGACCUCUGUCUUUGCUCUGUAAAACAUCACUAGCGCCCUCUAUUGGUCAGCAACGUGAAGCAGUGGCAAUAAACGUCCACAGCAUCUGUGAAAUGAACUGAUUAACACUGAGUGGAGGAAGCAAAACACAGCGUUUCUCCAUCGUCGCGUUGGGCCCCACUUUAUUGUCUUAUUGGGAAUCUGUGAAUGGACCUGUACAGCCAGCACACUUCAGAUUGUGCUGUUUUGUUUAUAAGUCAUACGCUAUCGUCAUAGCAACGCUGCAGAAUCUUAGCAGGUUUUUCCUCACGGCGCUCAGUCCUGAUGCCGACUGGCUCAGAAACGACAGCGCGCGGCAAUUAUGGCAGGCAGGAAUAUGGCCCAACAUCAGGCGUCUGUGGAGCGCUGAGGACGGAGGUCAAUGACACCAUCACCAUGCCAACCCCUGCUAUCGCCAUGGAAACCGUCUUUAUUGCAUCGACAGGUUAGAGAAAAGACCCCUCACCCAGAGAAGAACACCCGGUGAAUGGGAGGAGGAAGCGGAGCAUGUAGGAGCCGACGCUCCCUGGAGACGGGCUCCUCUGCCCGCGACGCGCUACCUUUCCCUGUGAUCAACCAGUAGAAAAGGAUAUGUUCCAUUUGAAUAAUUCACCAGAACUGUCUCUUCCUCGUGUCUCCUCCGCUUCCUUCCCUCAUAAAUGACUCUCUUCUCCUUUUUAUGUGCCCUAAAAUUAUCUAAAAAAAAAAAAAAAAGGCGACUGAAAUGUCAGCUGUAAUUACGUGUCACGCCAGCCCCUCUCUUCUCACACAGCUCCUCACAUAAGUCAUUCAUACAAGUGGAAUUCCAUAAAUAUUCCCGAUAAACAGCAGGUUCCUCCUGCACAGAUCAGAUGAUCAACUCAUAAUCCACUUUGAUCCAGAGAGACUGUGACGUCAUUUAUUCAAACAUGACUAAUAAAAUAAAAAUGCCGGUCUGCAAUAAAAGUGAGUUCACUCCUUUCAGGUACUUUCACAUCUCUAUUAGAGCUUCACAAUCCCGUUUUAAUGCCGCAUCACAGCCGUGUAAUGAGAUACAGAUGGAUGGCGGAAAAAGCUGCCGCGCACUGUGAUUGAACAGAUUUUCUACUUAUUAUGCAAAGUGUGCACGUGCCGCGAUGUCAAGUCAGAUAACGGGGCGAACGGACGCGUGGAGGCGACGGAGGAGACUCACCACGAAGCACGGCCCCGCCGACGUCUUCAGACACUCCUCCAGGAGCUUCAUGCGCAGCCGCUGCAGGUCGGGGCUGUCCCACUCCUCCGGGUCCACGCCCCAGUACAGGUCCACCACCUGCGGGGGCAGAGCCGUGAGCCGGAGGCAUCCACAGGUCACGCGGGUCAAGCACACGAAAAUGUUGGCUCUGCAGUCACGGGUCCAGGUUCCGACUCGGCAGCUGCGACUUCAUCCUACGUGCAUUUGAACCAGGCCCAGUCAUUUGAUGCAGUACGUGCCACAGGGCGACCAGGGCUGACGUGCAGCCGUAGCAACGACAACGCGGCCCAAUAUCACUGAGUACUUUCACGUGUGUGUGUGGGAUCGGUGACAUUGAGAUGGUUCACGCCACUGAGUUCACCGCACACGCUUAAACGCGCACGUGGACCCGCACCGCAACGCAGCGCGAGGGAGCAAAUCGAUACCGAAUGACCCGGAAGAGCAUGCAGGCAAACUGUGGCUGUGUAAAGCGGCCAUCCGUAAAGGCCAGAUGUUCCUGCGGCUCCUGCGUGCUGGGUGGAACGAGCGAGGGUGAAGGAGGCGGCUCCACUCCAAAUAACACCGUGCAGUCAAAAGUGAUAAUCACAGGUUGGAGGUAGAAGACAGUGGCAGGGACUGGGGACGUCUCCUGUUCAUCUGCCAGUGAGAAACGUUGAGUUUGAAUGAAUAAACAUAAGCGUGGCUGCACACAGACCCGGCAUAGAAAUAUACUAUAACCAGUAGACUGGGUAACAUCUGGUCCUGCAGCUGGUGCUUCAAAAUCCACUAGUGGGGCUUGUAGGGUCCAACGUGUUCACGUCAGCUCCAGGAACACACUAGACAUCAUAAAGCCCGGUUACAGUAAUUACUGGCCAAUGUUAGACACUAUAGAAACUCUGCGUGUAAAACCUAGUAGGUUACCAUGGUUACACAGCGCACAUGUGCCUCAUGUUAGAACUGUUGGCUUGCCCAUGGAUUUUUUUUUUUCAGGUUCAUCUUUUCUUGCCUCGAAGUGAAAAUGUCACUUGAAAUAGGCAGAUUUAUUACUGAGCUUGUUUUAUACUUCUACUGUAUAUAUUCAUAAUUUAUAAAAUAAGCAGGUUUCAAAGUUAUUGAGGAUGUACAGUAUAAUGUGCCUGUUCUACAUAGUUUACAUGUUUGCUCGCUCAGAUCAUCACAGCUGGUUCACUGCGUUCUCUAAGCUUCGCUUAAGCUCGUACCUAAAAUUGCAAAAAUUAAACCAGAGAAAAGAGAAUCUUAAGUGAGGCGUGUGUGAA